rnacentral:rRNA from 1 species
AAACCGGAGGAAGGUGGGGAUGACGUCAAAUCAUCAUGCCCCUUAUGAUUUGGGCUACACACGUGCUACAAUGGACAAUACAAAGGGCAGCGAAACCGCGAGGUCAAGCAAAUCCCAUAAAGUUGUUCUCAGUUCGGAUUGUAGUCUGCAACUCGACUACAUGAAGCUGGAAUCGCUAGUAAUCGUAGAUCAGCAUGCUACGGUGAAUACGUUCCCGGGUCUUGUACACACCGCCCGUCACACCACGAGAGUUUGUAACACCCGAAGCCGGUGGAGUAACCAUUUGGAGCUAGCCGUCGAAGGUGGGACAAAUGAUUGGGGUGAAGUCGUAACAAGGUAGCCGUAUCGGAAGGUGCGGCUGGAUCACCUCCUUU